rnacentral:rRNA from 1 species
AGAGUUUGAUCCUGCUCAGGAUGAACGCUGGCGGCGUGCGUAAUACAUGCAAGUCGAGCGAACAGACGAGAGCUUGCUCCUCUGACGUUAGCGGCGGACGGGUGAGUAACACGUGGAUAACCUACCUAUAAGACUGGGAUAACUUCGGGAAACCGGAGCUAAUACCGGAUAAUAUAUUGAACCGCAUGGUUCAAUAGUGAAAGACGGUUUUGCUGUCACUUAUAGAUGGAUCCGCGCCGCAUUAGCUAGUUGGUAAGGUAACGGCUUACCAAGGCAACGAUACGUAGCCGACCUGAGAGGGUGAUCGGCCACACUGGAACUGAGACACGGUCCAGACUCCUACGGGAGGCAGCAGUAGGGAAUCUUCCGCAAUGGGCGAAAGCCUGACGGAGCAACGCCGCGUGAGUGAUGAAGGUCUUCGGAUCGUAAAACUCUGUUAUUAGGGAAGAACAAACGUGUAAGUAACUGUGCACGUCUUGACGGUACCUAAUCAGAAAGCCACGGCUAACUACGUGCCAGCAGCCGCGGUAAUACGUAGGUGGCAAGCGUUAUCCGGAAUUAUUGGGCGUAAAGCGCGCGUAGGCGGUUUUUUAAGUCUGAUGUGAAAGCCCACGGCUCAACCGUGGAGGGUCAUUGGAAACUGGAAAACUUGAGUGCAGAAGAGGAAAGUGGAAUUCCAUGUGUAGCGGUGAAAUGCGCAGAGAUAUGGAGGAACACCAGUGGCGAAGGCGACUUUCUGGUCUGUAACUGACGCUGAUGUGCGAAAGCGUGGGGAUCAAACAGGAUUAGAUACCCUGGUAGUCCACGCCGUAAACGAUGAGUGCUAAGUGUUAGGGGGUUUCCGCCCCUUAGUGCUGCAGCUAACGCAUUAAGCACUCCGCCUGGGGAGUACGACCGCAAGGUUGAAACUCAAAGGAAUUGACGG